rnacentral:rRNA from 1 species
AGUGAACGCUGGCGGUAGGCCUAACACAUGCAAGUCGAACGGCAGCACAGGAGAGCUUGCUCUCUGGGUGGCGAGUGGCGGACGGGUGAGGAAUACAUCGGGAUCUACUUUUUCGUGGGGGAUAACGUAGGGAAACUUACGCUAAUACCGCAUACGACCUACGGGUGAAAGCAGGGGAUCUUCGGACCUUGCGUGAUUGAAUGAGCCGAUGUCGGAUUAGCUAGUUGGCGGGGUAAAGGCCCACCAAGGCGACGAUCCGUAGCUGGUCUGAGAGGAUGAUCAGCCACACUGGAACUGAGACACGGUCCAGACUCCUACGGGAGGCAGCAGUGGGGAAUAUUGGACAAUGGGCGCAAGCCUGAUCCAGCCAUACCGCGUGGGUGAAGAAGGCCUUCGGGUUGUAAAGCCCUUUUGUUGGGAAAGAAAUCCAGCUGGUUAAUACCCGGUUGGGAUGACGGUACCCAAAGAAUAAGCACCGGCUAACUUCGUGCCAGCCGCCGCGGUAA